rnacentral:miRNA from 1 species
UCCAUCCCUGAACUCGAGCUGA